rnacentral:rRNA from 1 species
AUUGAACGCUGGCGGCAUGCCUUACACAUGCAAGUCGAACGGCAGCAUGGAAGAGCUUGCUCUUCUGAUGGCGAGUGGCGAACGGGUGAGUAAAGCAUCGGAACGUACCGUGUAAUGGGGGAUAACGUAGCGAAAGUUACGCUAAUACCGCAUACGACCUGAGGGUGAAAGCAGGGGAUCGCAAGACCUUGCGUUAUACGAGCGGCCGAUGUCAGAUCAGCUAGUUGGUAGGGUAAAGGCCUACCAAGGCGACGAUGUGUAGCGGGUCUGAGAGGAUGAUCCGCCACACUGGGACUGAGACACUGCCCAGACUCCUACGGGAGGCAGCAGUGGGGAAUUUUGGACAAUGGGGGCAAGCCUGAUCCAGCCAUGCCGCGUGAGUGAAGAAGGCCUUCGGGUUGUAAAGCUCUUUCGGCCGGGAAGAAAUCGCACAGGCUAAUACUCUGUGUGGAUGACGGUACCGGCAUAAGAAGCACCGGCUAACUACGUGCCAGCAGCCGCGGUAA